rnacentral:rRNA from 1 species
UUCUACGGCCAUGCCACCCUCAACGUGCCAAUCUUGUCCGAUCUUGGAAACUAAGCAGGGUCGGGCCUCGUUAGUCCUUGGAUGGGAGACCAGCUAGGAAGACCAGGUGCUGAAGGCG